rnacentral:rRNA from 1 species
ACUCCUGCGGGAGGCAGCAGUGGGGAAUAUUGGACAAUGGGCGCAAGCCUGAUCCAGCCAUGCCGCGUGAGUGAUGAAGGCCCUAGGGUUGUAAAGCUCUUUCACCGGUGAAGAUAAUGACGGUAACCGGAGAAGAAGCCCCGGCUAACUUCGUGCCAGCAGCCGCGGUAAUACGAAGGGGGCUAGCGUUGUUCGGAUUUACUGGGCGUAAAGCGCACGUAGGCGGACUAUUAAGUCAGGGGUGAAAUCCCGGGGCUCAACCCCGGAACUGCCUUUGAUACUGGUAGUCUUGAGUUCGAGAGAAGUGAGUGGAAUUCCGAGUGUAGAGGUGAAAUUCGUAGAUAUUCGGAGGAACACCAGUGGCGAAGGCGGCUCACUGGCUCGAUACUGACGCUGAGGUGCGAAAGCGUGGGGAGCAAACAGGAUUAGAUACCCCAGUAGUCCCAUGA